GGGGAAUUUUGGACAAUGGGCGAAAGCCUGAUCCAGCAAUGCCGCGUGCAGGAAGAAGGCCUUCGGGUUGUAAACUGCUUUUGUACGGAACGAAAAGGCCAGCCCUAAUACGGCAGGCCCAUGACGGUACCGUAAGAAUAAGCACCGGCUAACUACGUGCCAGCAGCCGCGGUAAUACGUAGGGUGCGAGCGUUAAUCGGAAUUACUGGGCGUAAAGCGUGCGCAGGCGGUGAUGUAAGACAGUUGUGAAAUCCCCGGGCUCAACCUGGGAAUUGCAUCUGUGACUGCAUCGCUAGAGUACGGUAGAGGGGGAUGGAAUUCCGCGUGUAGCAGUGAAAUGCGUAGAUAUGCGGAGGAACACCGAUGGCGAAGGCAAUCCCCUGGACCUGUACUGACGCUCAUGCACGAAAGCGUGGGGAGCAAACAGGAUUAGAUACCCUGGUAGUCCACGCCCUAAACGAUGUCAACUGGUUGUUGGGUGCAUUAGUACUCAGUAACGAAGCUAACGCGUGAAGUUGACCGCCUGGGGAGUACGGCCGCAAGGUUG
rnacentral:rRNA from 1 species